rnacentral:rRNA from 1 species
GGUUAAGCGACUAAGCGUACACGGUGGAUGCCCUGGCAGUCAGAGGCGAUGAAGGGCGUGCUAAUCUGCGAUAAGCGCCGGUAAGGUGAUAUGAACCGUUAUAACCGGCGAUACCCGAAUGGGGAAACCCAGUGUGAUUCGUCACACUAUCAUUAACUGAAUCCAUAGGUUAAUGAGGCGAACCGGGGGAACUGAAACAUCUAAGUACCCCGAGGAAAAGAAAUCAACCGAGAUUCCCCCAGUAGCGGCGAGCGAACGGGGAGGAGCCCAGAGCCUGAAUCAGCAUGUGUGUUAGUGGAAGCGUCUGGAAAGGCGCGCGAUACAGGGUGACAGCCCCGUACACAAAAGCGCAUGUGCUGUGAGCUCGAUGAGUAGGGCGGGACACGUGGUAUCCUGUCUGAAUAUGGGGGGACCAUCCUCCAAGGCUAAAUACUCCUGACUGACCGAUAGUGAACCAGUACCGUGAGGGAAAGGCGAAAAGAACCCCGGCGAGGGGAGUGAAAAA